rnacentral:rRNA from 1 species
GACGAACGCUGGCGGCGUGCCUAAUACAUGCAAGUCGAGCGGAACUGGGGGAGCUUGCUCCUUCCAGUUUAGCGGCGGACGGGUGAGUAACACGUGGGCAACCUGCCCUGCAGAUCGGGAUAACUCCGGGAAACCGGUGCUAAUACCGAAUAGUUUGGCGCCUCUCCUGAGGCGCUACGGAAAGACGGUUUCGGCUGUCACUGCAGGAUGGGCCCGCGGCGCAUUAGCUAGUUGGUGGGGUAACGGCCCACCAAGGCGACGAUGCGUAGCCGACCUGGAGGGGGGAACGGCCACACUGGGACUGAGACACGGCCCAGACUCCUACGGGAGGCAGCAGUAGGGAAGCUUCCGCAAUGGACGCAAGUCUGACGGAGCAACGCCGCGUGAGUGACGAAGGUUUUCGGAUCGUAAAACUCUGUUGUGAGGGAAGAACACGUACCAACUAACUAUAGGUACCUUGACGGUACCUCACCAGAAAGCCACGGCUAACUACGUGCCAGCCGCCGCGGUAA